rnacentral:rRNA from 1 species
GUGAGGAAUAUUGGUCAAUGGGCGAGAGCCUGAACCAGCCAAGUCGCGUGAAGGAUGAAGGUUUUAUGAAUUGUAAACUUCUUUUGCAGGGGAAUAAAGUACGGUACGUGUACCGUUUUGUAUGUACUCUGCGAAUAAGGAUCGGCUAACUCCGUGCCAGCAGCCGCGGUAAUACGGAGGAUCCAAGCGUUAUCCGGAUUUAUUGGGUUUAAAGGGUGCGCAGGCGGGUUGAUAAGUCAGCGGUGAAAGUUUGCAGCUUAACUGUAAAAUUGCCGUUGAAACUGUCGAUCUUGAGUGCAAAUGAGGUAAGCGGAAUGUGUUGUGUAGCGGUGAAAUGCUUAGAUAUAACACAGAACACCGAUUGCGAAGGCAGCUUACUAAGCUACAACUGACACUGAAGCACGAAAGCGUGGGGAUCAAACAGGAUUAGAUACCCGUGUAGUCC